ensembl:lncRNA
CAACCUUCUAAAUCACCCUUCAGUUUCCCAAACUCUCUCUUUUUAGCCAGACGCUCUGAACUGAACAACUAGCAAAAUGAACAGGAAACAACAGCUCCUUCCUGCUCUGCAGCCCCACCCUCCUGCAAGGAACUGGCCUUCUGCAGGGCUGGGUUUGGUUAUGGGCCAGCACCAGCUGAAUGGCAUUCCCAUUUGAGCUUGCGUUACUCACUUGUUGCCAUCACAGUUAAGUAAAAGAUUGAGAGAGCCAUUAUCUCAGCUCAAUCCCAGGAAGCAACACCAGAACAGCAGCUCUGUGGCAGUUGAGGUGGAAAUGUUUUUCUGUUCAAUCUGACUUUCACAGAUUCUCUAAAUUUCACAUGCCUGCUCAGAUUUUCAGGAGUUUUUAUGUGACUCACGAAAGCACAGAGUAUAAAUAAUGAUAUCAGUUUGGGAUAUUGGGGAGGAUAUUUGAGGAAGAACCUUAGCUUUUUUUAUUAUUAUUAGCUUGGUUUUUGUUGUUGUUGUUGUUUUUCACUUGAGAGCACCAAACAUUCUCAUAUAAUCUGAAUUCAUCCCAUCUGCACCCUCUACACAUUUGAGACAGGAAACUGAAGAUGGCAUACAGAAUAAAAGUUACCUUAGUUUACUUAGAUAUAUACAUUGUGUUCAUGAACAGAGAUUUCUUGAUAUGCAAGCAUGAAUUACAUGGACAAGAAGCUUUCAACAGCAUCAGGUCUCAUGUGAGCUCAGGCACCUAAGCAGAUGUCCAGAAGUAGAAGGUCUGUCCCGUAGGGAAGCAGAAUCUGUUAGAGGAAGGGAUGGGGCUGUGCUAAAGCCUGGCUCUGUCAGGGAACAUUUGCUUGAAGGGACAUGCACUAACAAAGCAAGGAAAUCAGAAGGGCUCCAACUACUUUCAAACAGAAAAAAUAAAAUUACAGAGAGGAGAACUCAAACUUCAGAGUAUUAAAGGAUUCGUCAGCGUGAGGGAGGAAAGGAGAGAGGGAGGAUGGGGGAAUGGCAUACAUUGAUAGGCCUAUGGAGCAGAAGAGGUAUUAAAACUCUAUACUAAUUUUACUGUGCACGCAUAUCAAAGUUCCCUACGUUAUUCUUUUACCUAUCCUGUAAGAUAGGUAAAGCUGUAUUCCAGGUGAGCAGAGUGGGGUCAUGCCACAUUCUUUGUCCCUUCUCACGGUUCUUGGAAUCCCAUUGCUACAUUCUACCUUCCUGCUGGUUGCUUGGUAUCUUGGUGCUUAAAAAGCCCACGUGGAAGAGCGGUAUUGGGCACUUUAAUAGUAAAUUUCUGGGCUUUCCCCUGCCCAGCAGUGCACUGUUUGCAUGCAUGCCAGAUCUCCCGUUCUGCCGGUAACUCACCACCUGAAAGGUCUGGCUUUCUGCCUGAGCAGCUACAAAGAAUCAGCCCAGCUGAGGUUCAGUUGCUCACACAGUGAAAGAAUGCAGCAAAUACAUAUCUGUUAUUUCUUUUCUGCUAUUCAUUCCACCUGAGCUUCAAGAAACUCUUGCAUUAAAAUCCUAAGAAUAAGUAAGUGUCAAGAUUGACUUUAGGGUCAGUGCUGCCUGUGGCAAUCUUGUUUUAACCAGUAUAGAUUUUCCUCACUUUAUCAUUGUCCUGAGAGGACUUAUGAGUUGUUUCUCUCUCUCUCUCUCUCUCUCUCUCUCCCUCCCCCCCCCCCCCCCCCCCCCCUUUUUUUUUUCACAUCUAGAGGUCCUUGGGAUGUAUUUGGAUUUUCAUAACAAUUUAAAUAAUUUCCUCAAGACCUUUAAAGCACCUCUUUUCACUUACAUAACAGGUAUUCUUUCAAAGGAAUAACCUCAUUCAAAUGUUGUGGCUCAUUCUCAAAAACACUAGUUGUUCCAAUUUCAAGCUAAAUAGUAUUUAGCAUGCACAGUUUUCCUUUCUACUUCAUUUUCUGGCUCAAAGAUUUUAUGUACUUGCUUAGACUAAAGCAUUUUAGAAAAUUUGCUUUCUGUUCAUUCUUUAUCUUUUGUCCUUUUUCUUUCACAGUGCUUCCAAGAGUUGUAACAAUUCGAUGCUGGUCUUGAUAGUCUCUAUAUAUAUUGGUCUCUAUAGUGCUAUCCUUACAAUCAGACCAGAAAGGACCUCAAAAAGUCUCUUGCCCACUGUUUUCCAAAGACAGGAUCAGAUAUGCACUGUUAACCUCGUAGACAGUUUCAGUAAGGAUAAUUACUUUCUGAUGAGCAAGUCAGUAAGUAUUUCUCGCUGGACAAAGUUGUGGAUUAUUUAUUUCUUGCCCUGUUGGUGAUUAUUUUUAGUAGUUCUCAUAUUUCAUCUGCAGAGUGGAUUGGAACUGGUUCGAGGUGGACUGAAUUAUUCCUGCAUACAAAGGGGUUUGAUUUCAUGCCUGGCAGGAAGCAAUAUAAGCUGGAAAGGAAACUUCUUAAGUGGAGGCAAAUGGAGCCUUGCUAUUUCUUCCGUUGUCAGUAGUGAACACAGACACCUCCACCUGCAAGUCUGCCUGAUAGAGCAGAUGCAUGAGUCCAUCCAUGUUCUGUCCCUUUGUCUAUCCAGGACACCAUGCUUUUAACCCAGGUUAUUCUUGUCCCUCUCUGGGGUAAGAGCUAACACCAAUACAAACCUGGUUCCAGGUAUCAUCAUCAUGAUUAAUAAUCGCUGAAUAAAAUCAAGGGACAAUGUAGAGGACAGUAGACAAGUCUCUUAAUGUUGUAGGAAAAGGAUUUGUAGUGCUCCCACACAUACUUGCCAUCCUCCUGGUGACUGCAUCCACCCUGAUAAUCUACAAACAGA